AAGCCUGUGGCUCAAUGGUAGAGCGUUCGAUUUAAAUACCAAAGGUCGAGGGUUCAAAUCCCAGGUGUU
rnacentral:tRNA from 1 species